CACGUAGGCACCAAGCGUUGUCCGGAUUUAUUGGGCGUAAAGAGCUCGUAGGCGGUUCGGUAAGUCGGAUGUGAAAUCUUUGGGCUCAACCCAAAGCGUGCACUCGAUACUGCCGUGACUGGAGUUCGGUAGGGGAGCGGGGAAUUCCUAGUGUAGCGGUGAAAUGCGCAGAUAUUAGGAGGAACACCGGUGGCGAAGGCGCCGCUCUGGGCCGAUACUGACGCUGAGGAGCGAAAGCGUGGGUAGCAAACAGG
rnacentral:rRNA from 1 species